GAGCAGCAAGCCUACUUCUCCUCCGAAGACCACCAUGUUGACGCUAGAGAACCCACAGCUAUUAAUCCUGGGCAUAGGUUAAGGACAGUUGAUUUGAGUGAGGACACUUUGGUAAUUGGGAUUGAUGAAUUGAGGAAAAAUCAGCUUUUGGAAGAGGAAUUGGAUAAUGACUUUGUAUUGAAGAAGAAAGGGGUUUCUAAGGAGGAUAUGGAAUUGG
rnacentral:lncRNA from 1 species